rnacentral:rRNA from 1 species
GACGAACGCUGGCGGCGUGCCUAAUACAUGCAAGUUGAGCGCUGAAGGUUGGUACUUGUACCGACUGGAUGAGCAGCGAACGGGUGAGUAACGCGUGGGGCAUCUGCCUUUGAUCGGGGGACAACAUUUGGAAACGAAUGCUAAUACCACAUAAAAACUUUAAACACAAGUUUUAAGUUUGAAAGAUGCAAUUGCAUCACUCAAAGAUGAUCCCGCGUUGUAUUAGCUAGUUGGUGAGGUAAAGGCUCACCAAGGCGAUGCUACCUAGCCGACCUGAGAGGGUGAGCGGCCACAUUGGGAGUGAGACACGGCCCAAACGCAUACGGGAGGCAGCAGUAGGGAAUCGUCGGGCAGGGACGAAAGUCUGACCGAGAAACGCCGCGGGAGUGAAGAAGGGUGUCGGAUCGUAAAACUCUGUUGGUAGAGAAGAAAGUGGGUGAGAGUGGAAAGCACAUCAAGUGACGGUAACUACCCAGAAAGGGACGGCUAACUACGUG